AUUGAACGCUGGCGGCAGGCCUAACACAUGCAAGUCGAGCGGAUGAAGGGAGCUUGCUCCUGGAUUCAGCGGCGGACGGGUGAGUAAUGCCUAGGAAUCUGCCUGGUAGUGGGGGAUAACGUCCGGAAACGGGCGCUAAUACCGCAUACGUCCUGAGGGAGAAAGUGGGGGAUCUUCAGACCUCACGCUAUCAGAUGAGCCUAGGUCGGAUUAGCUAGUUGGUGGGGUAAAGGCCUACCAAGGCGACGAUCCGUAACUGGUCUGAGAGGAUGAUCAGUCACACUGGAACUGAGACACGGUCCAUACUCCUACGGGAGGCAGCAGUGGGGAAUAUUGGACAAUGGGCGAAAGCCUGAUCCAGCCAUGCCGCGUGUGUGAAGAAGGUCUUCGGAUUGUAGAGCACUUUAAGUUGGGAGGAAGGGCAGUAAGUUAAUACCUUGCUGUUUUGACGUUACCAACAGAAUAAGCACCGGCUAACUUCGUG
rnacentral:rRNA from 1 species